rnacentral:rRNA from 1 species
GAUGAACGCUAGCGGCAGGCCCAACACAUGCAAGUCGAGGGGCAGCACAGAAACAGCAAUGUUUUGGUGGCGACCGGCGGACGGGUGCGUAACGCGUAUGCAACCUACCUUUAACAGGGGGAUAACGGAGAGAAAUUUCCACUAAUACCCCAUAACAUCGAUCAAGGCAUCUUGACUGGUUGAAAACUCCGGUGGUUAAAGAUGGGCAUGCGUUGUAUUAGGUAGUUGGUGAGGUAAUGGCUCACCAAGCCUACGAUACAUAGGGGGACUGAGGGGUUAGCCCCCCACACUGGUACUGAGACACGGACCAGACUCCUACGGGAGGCAGCAGUGAGGAAUAUUGGUCAAUGGGGGCAACCCUGAACCAGCCAUGCCGCGUGCAGGAAGACGGCUCUAUGAGUUGUAAACUGCUUUUAAACAGGGAUAAAGCACAGUAUGUAUACUGUGUUGAAGGUACUGUAAGAAUGAGGAUCGGCUAACUCCGUGCCAGCCGCCGCGGUAA